GCCGGUGGUAGCUCAGUCGGGUAGGCGCCCGCCUUCCACGCCAGAGAUGCGGGUUCGAAUCCAGACGCUGACA
rnacentral:tRNA from 1 species